CCCUUAGAUGUUCUGGGCCGCACGCGCGCUACAAUGAUGAAUUCAACGAGUUUAUAACCUUGGUUGAAAAGCCUGGGUAAUCUUUUGAACUUUCGUCGUGAUGGGGCUAGACCCUUGCAAUUAUUGGUCUCCAACGAGGAAUUCCUAGUAAACGCAAGUCAUCAGCUUGCAUUGAUUACGUCCCUGCCCUUUGUACACACCGCCCGUCGCACCUACCGAUUGAAUGGUUCGGUGAAAUCUUCGGAUUGAGACUUUGAUUUCUUCACGGAAAACGCUGUUUUAAGAAGUUGAUUAAACCUUACCAUUUAGAGGAAGGUGAAGUCGUAACA
rnacentral:rRNA from 1 species